rnacentral:lncRNA from 1 species
UAUAUCCUAUCCUAAUCUUUGACACUAAUCUACCGAUCCUAGAAACCUAGACCUUAGCAGUAGGGCUGGUCUUCACUCAAUCAGUCGGAGAUACACCUGGUAAGCCAACAUUGAUCAUUAUUUCACGUUUUCAACUACUAUAAAGCAAGGUGGUUUGGUGUCAAAGGCUUCACCUAGUUUAGUUUACCUGUUAUACACUGGCACAUAUGGUGCAAGAACUUAACUAUAACAUUCUAUAGCACAAAGAUAUUGUUCUUUGCAGUUUACAUAGUACUAGUUCACAGGUGUGGAACAAUAUCAGCAUGGACAGAAGCUAUUUCAGCUUCUUCUGCUAAAGUUAUUUCAGCUUUUUACUGAAGUCAGAAAGCUGAAGAAUCUGAAUACUGGAAAUACUAGCAGCUUCUUCCCUCUCUUUUUGUGUAUUGUACCCCCAAUCCCCUAAUCGAAAACACAAAUUAGCAACCAAAGAAAGUGAGUACCACAAAAUACAAAUCCACAAUAAUGCAAAGCAAACACAGCAAUGAUACUAAACCAUUUAGCAGUAUCUUGUAAUACUAAAGGGAGAAAGUAAAGAGGAAUUUUACCUAGAUAGAGAUUCCAACCAUUUAAUUCGGGUUCUCCGAUGACAUUCUUCAGGGUUGCCAGUCUAUCUUCCAAAAAGCUGGUAAAAGUUGCAUAAUUUUUCUCAUUCAGAUUAACUAUGAUAGAGUAAUGAGAAGGAGGAUAUCCAGCGUAGCAGUGCAGAAUUUAGUCAAAAGCUUCAAUAAUGGAGUCAAGAUCAUUAUAUUGGAACAUCUUCUACACUACUACUAUUAGAUAUUAAGUGGAAAAGUAUCUUACUGAAGUUUAAGCCCCUGAUGUUUCUUCUGAAGUUGCUUCAAAACUUCUACCUUUGGACUGCAAGGGGAUUAAAAAGUGAGUAUUGUUCUACAUCAUCGAAAGCAAGCCACAGGCAUAAGUGUGAAACUACCAAAUACAGACUAUCAUUAAGUUAUUAGACUAACCCAGAUCCUAGACCAAAAAUUCUAUCAGGCGGUAUUGUAACUCCUGCUAGUUCUCGCAAGAAAGCAUCAGCAAAUCGGCUCUGCAUAGAAAAGAAACAGAAACUAACAUUGUGGGAAAAUACCAGAAGGAAAAGUCUAAUCUACAAAGAAACUGAGCUAACUGCUCAUUAUGAAAUGUGUCAACGACCGACUACAGAGCUAACCGGAAUUUCAAUCACGUAACUCAAAUUGUAUCAGCACUAUCUUUCCCUGCUUUUGUCCUCUUCAUUUAGGGGAAAGUAAAAUUCACAAAAUACUCCAAUGUCAUAUCUAAUGCUUGGAUUAAUUGGUUACACACCUGUUUUGUGGUGACAACAUAUAUGGUAGAGCUUGUGAAUUUUAGAGCAUCAGGAACACCCGGAUAUAAUCUGCAAGCAAAGCCUCUCCCAUUCAGUCAUGAAAUAACAUUCAACUAUAAACCAAAACUAUGUUACCUAUAACUAAAUUAAACAAGCCUCCGAAUUUCGCUUCAGAUUGUUUGAUCAAGCAUUUCAAAUUGGGGGCACCUCACCUAUUUGCACCAAUCCAAGUUUUCAAGUCAUGGUCCAUCCACUCAUCCCUGACCUUCGCGAAAAAAAUCUAUAAGCCCAUCCCUGUCCUCACCCCAUUCCUCCAUAAUCACAGGCUUCAACUCUGACCACUUCUCCAAUAUCCCCUCCACUGUGAGCCCUUCACCGACUGAUGACUUCCUUAUAGAAGGAACCCUCAUCUCCAGAAGUAACCUCACAAGUAGAAGAUUCUCGUACCCGGUUUCCACCACAGGCCUCACCUAAUUCAUCAUCAUUCGUUUCUCCACAAUUAGACAAAUCAAAUAUUACAUGGGUUUUGUGUGAUUAAGCAUAUUACGGACUUACAAUGCGCAUUUGAUCAAGAACCCAAUUCUCCAAAGUUGAAUCCACACCGUUGAACAGAGCUGGCCAUCUGACUUUAGCAGCCUACAGAUUACCAUUCAAGGAAAGUAAACAAGUUGUGAAGUGAAAAGCUUGGGGGUUUUGGAAUGGUUUGAUCGAAGUCAAUACCUUCAUGGUAGAGAGAGAGCUCUCUCCGCAGCUAUCACAGAUGACUCCGUCGAAAUCCAAAGCGUAUAGAUCACCCAUUUCUGAGUCUCUAGCUUCUGUGUCUGACGGAGGGUCUUUGAGUUCAAAUGCUCCUACAGCUUCAAUUGGUCCCACGACGGCGUUUUACAGGAUGACACAGUUGUAUAUAUACUUUGCCUAAACACCGGAGCACACGUAACAACCUUAAUUAUAAGGAGGUUUAAAUUAUAGCCCAACAUACAUAUAGCCCCAUAUAUUUCACUUUGAUUAGUCGCAUUAGGAGUAUUAUAGUUAUUGAAGGGCGACAAAUUCAAGACCGUCUUUAUAAAUAUAUAAGUAUCUCCGCUCAUUUAUGAUAAACCAUCAUAUUUCAUCUUCUCAUACUUCUCUUUAAAUUUUUUUUAUAUACCGAUUUAAACGUCAGAGAGUAAAAUGUCAGCAACCAUAAUCUUCUAUUCUAACGCUAAUUUAAGGUGAAAGGUCAAAGAUGGUGAGCUUCCUGCAUUUCGGUAAUUAGCGGUAAAGCUCAACAGAGAAAGGAAAAAAAAAGGGUGAAAGUGUGUCACGGAACAACGACAGUGAUUAGUACAGUGACCAUAAGUGGCACUGUAAUAAUUGUCUAUGGUUUCGUCAAUUCUGCUAUAAGUGAGAAAGAGCGAACUAUAUGAGAAGAAAACGCAUGACACAAAAUAUUUGAUUUUUGGACCGAAACUUUAUUUCAAGGCUCAAACCACAUCGGCAAACCCGUAGAUGAUUUGCUAGGAUUUCGUAAGAACAUGUCCACCCCUAUGUCAAAAGCCUAACUUGGGACUUCAGCCACCUCAUUUUAUGACCCAGCUUCAAAAAUUGCAUAUCCACCCAUGAAAAAUAAUCUAUGAUACGAUCUUAACUUAAUUAUGCAUUAUGAACUUAUUAAUUUGUUAUUGAAUGAUGUGUAGAGUCACAAACAAGGUCAAAUCAGCUUAAAUCAAACGGAAAGAAGUAUUUGAUGAAGCCGGAUAUAGAUUUGUGGUUGUCCAAAAAUGGACUCUCUAACUUGAAAUCCAUGACCAAGGACUCCAGGGACCUGAAGACAAUGGCCAAAAAGAAGGCUAUAAAGACGGUGAUCAUUGAAAACUCAGCCAAACUUGAAGAAAACAGAAGUAUUGAUGUGCGGAACAUCAUUUCUAUCAUUCCUAUAAAAUUCAAAAGAAGCAUCGUCCGCCUUCUCUGUAUGGUAAGUAUUUACAUGAAUCUAUUAUCCUUCAGCACUCAAAGAUGUUAAAGUAUCAACUACUGAAUUAUAUCAACACAUAGGUUCCAAUGCUUGAAAAUUUGAAUGAAAUAAUGUUGAAAGUGAUUUGUGAGCAUUUGAAGCCAGUCAUUUACGCUGAAGACAACUAUAUUGUUCAAGAAGGCAAACCACUUGGUAUGAUGAUGUUCAUCACACAAGGACUUGCAUGGAGCUACACAACCAAAAACAUCAAUUGUGGACGACCAAGCUUUGAUUCCUCAAGCAAUGAGUGGUUAAAACAAAGUGAUUUUUACGAAGAAGAGCUGUUGAAUUGAGCAUUCAAGUCUCCCUCUUUUUCUGGCUUACCCUUUUCCUCUAGAACCAUUAUGUCUCGAGAAAAAGUCGAAGCGUUUGCUCUAAGGGCUAGGGACAUGAAGAGUAUAGUUUGCAAAUUCUUGUGGCAUUUUACCAAAGAACUCGAACAAGUGGAUUUAGAGCGGUGGGAGAAUUCAGCAGCUUCUUCAAUACAAGCAACCUGACACAACCGUUUGGAAAGGGCUAAGCAUUCAAAUCGCUGGGACAAAUUUACCACACAUUAUUAGUGUAUAUUACGUAAGUACUACUAAAACAAAGGCUUUUCACUUUAUUGUUAUUUUUAUUUUAGGUGUUGCAAGACUUCUUUUUUUUUUUAAUUGAGUUGUUGUCUAGUGAGUAGUGACUACUUUUUAUAUGUUCAGUUUCCAUGGAGUCAUUUCAGAUAUAGAAAUCCAAUAAUAAAGUUAAUAGCUUGUGUAUACCAUUCCAAUCUAGAGUUAUCAACAUUUUCAGUAGUUGGAUUUCAGAUGACCAGUUAUUUCAAAUUCAUAUCUAAUAUAUUGCAUCUACUCAUUUCAAUUACCUUAUGUCUAGUAGUUUGCUAUAUUCUGUUUCCUGAACAAAACUUGCCUUGUUGUUAACCAAAAUUUGCAGAUUUGGGAUCAUUUCAUCCAGCUGAAAUGGUUUUUGUGUCUUGUCAAUAGUAGUACAUAGUCUGAAUAAAGUUGUUCCUCAAGGCUGGUGGCUGUUAAGAUAUAAAUCUCAUAUCAGGAAUAUGAGACUUUAUAUGUGGGUUUAUAAGGGUUUGAGCAGUUUCAUCUAUUGCAAUUGGUUUUGGAUGUGAACCCCAAACUACUUUAUAAUGGUAUCAGAGAGGGUUAUCCACGUCCACAUGUGAAGCCUAAAUGUCACACGAACUCCAUGUCACCCUAAAUGUUGUCUACGUGUUAGGCUUGAAAAUUCCCUACACAUGCAGAUAUAAAUCUCAUAUCUGGAAUAUGAGACCUUGUCUGUGGGUUUAUAACGGUUUGGACCGUUUCAUCCUUUGCCAAUUGGUUUUAGAUGUGAACCUUAGACUACUUUAUCAGUGGCGUCCUCAUUAUAUCAUUUAGGAAAAAGGAAAAGCAUUUGCAUGAACUAGAACAUCUCCUUGAUGUAUUUUCCAGCCUGAAAAUAUUCAGAAUUUAAAUGAGAAAUUACAAUUUUGAUACACCUAUGGUAAUGUAUUCAGAAUAAAAUAGAUAAUUUAAUGCCAAUGAAAUAGUUAAAGCUACAACCAGAUCCAUGAAUUAUUACAUAAUAAUAUCUCUGGUGAAAGGUUUGCGAUAUUUUUAGAGGAGGUGGUGAAAGAUGGACCAGAAACAACAGUACGUACCACUGAAGUCUAUAGUGGAUGAGCAUGAUCUGAUUAUAGUUGGAAGAAGGUUUCAGGUGGAGUGCCCUCAGACUGCAGGACUUACAGAAUGGAGUGACUUUCCCGAACUAGGGACUAUGGGAGACCUACUUGCAUCACCUGAUCUAAAUUAUAAAGCUUCUAUUUUAGUGAUAAAACAUCAACAACAGAUCACUUAAUUGAAGCUUUUGCAGAUCAUGUUAAAUUGAUAAUUUUAGGAAUUUGGAAUUUUUUCACCGUUUUAAUUUUCAAAUUUGAUUUUUGUUUAUAUCUUUUCACUUAGCGCUUGAACUGAAAAGGAUAUUUCACGAAACUUCACUGGAUUUUAAAGUUCUAGGUUCCAAUUUCAGCUAAAUCGUUCAAUAUAUACUAGACAUCCGACUGGUUCUCUUGUCCAUCUUCAUGUCCUUAAAACUGUAACACACUAUACCAUUACACUUCCAAAAUUCAACUUGUAGCUCUUGAAGGUGGUCUUCCCGUGUACUAAUGUAAUGCUGAAGAAGAAACAAAUAAAGAAGAAAAUCAAUAUAUGAAACAGAGGAUACUUAAUCCCAAAACAGGGUAAAUCUGGAGACCUUAGAUAACAAUACAGUUCAGACUCACCCUUUUUUGUUUCAUAUUCCUCUUCUCAUAAUGUAAUGAUAUGCAUGCUGAUUUAUACUCGUGUUGCUUACUGGUCGAUCACGUUGCAAAACUACAUACCACGAACAAUACGUCUUUACUGGGAAAUACCCUACUGUACUGGUACUAGUUGUAACGAAUCGAUGGAAAAUUCUAGUAUACCAUAUAUUAUAGCAUGUCUCAUAAAAUGUGUGUUAUCAUUGAUUGAAGAAGUAACUAAAUGAUCAUGUAAUGACCAUUUACCCCUUUCAAAAGCCCACAUGUGUCAUAUAAUUAGACACAUUUGCAAUAGACAUGUCAUACCAUAUGGUAUUAGACAUUUAGUGGUUGACCCAUGUCUCACAAAAUGUGUGUUAUCAUUGAUUGAAGCAGCAACUAAAUAAUCAUGUAAUGACCAUUUACCCUCUUCAAAAGCCCACAUGUGUCAUACAAUUAGACACAUUUGUAAUAAACAUGCCAUAUCAUAUGGUAUGAUAGACAAUUUAGUGGUUGACCCAUCUAUUCCAAGUCUUCCUAGUUCCUUGAUAAGUUUUGCUACUGGUUAUCAUCUAUUCAAUGUCUUUGCUCUAUAAUACUGCUUCCUAUGAUCGAUAAGUCAGUCAUCUUUGGAAAACAACAUCAUGCCACUAGUCCCUAAUGGAAAGAGAAUGAUCAAAUUGAGUCACUUGUCGUUUGUAAGGAAGCAACAAGUCAACUAAAGAGUGCUCAUCUUGAUCAUAUAUUCUGUGGCUCGAAUGAACUUACAGUAUAAAACGAGGAUUAGUUAGUAUUAAGGACAAUGGAUACGGGAAAUUGAAUUCAGUUCAUAUUCGGAAGCUAGAGUUGAUGCUGUUCUUCUGAUCCUUUUCGCAAAAUCCUCCUCUUUAAUCCAUAUCUGGCCCUCCCCACACUACCCUGCAACUUCAUUGAACUGAUGCAGCUAGCACAGUUAAAUCUCUCUCUCUCUCUCUCUCUCUGAUUAAUUUAUGAAAGGAAUAUAUAUGUCUUCACUGUUUAGCUGAGCUAUAUUAGAACUUGAUAAGUGUCUCCAACUGCCAGUUCCAUGUCCAUAUUGCAGGUUUAACGGUUAAUCCUCCAGGCGAGAUUCUAUCUUUCAAAAUCUUGAGAUAUGAGCAGCCAGAUCGAAAAUGUGUCAAUUUACUUACGGUUGGUUUCAUUAAGAACCUGAUAACCCAAAGAAAAUCUAAACUUAAGUUGAUUUUUUUUCAAAUAUUUUUAUUCCAUCAAUUUGUGCUUGACAUCUCCUUGCCUGCGCCAAUAAUUGUACUUGACAUGACCUGGUCUGUAAUAAUGGGAGUCUUCAAAACGUCCUCUUCCAUGAUUGUAGCCACGACCUCUUCCUCUAGUUGGAAACGUGGUGUCUACACUUCUAUCAUCUUCAUGUUGAUUGCUUGAUGAGCCUCUUCCAAUUCCUUGAAAAUUAUUACCUCUUCCACGAGAAUUAAAACCACGUCCUCGUCCCCUUGCUCGACCAGCACUUCCAUUCCAACGUUGAAAUCUGUGAGCAUGAUUCCAAUUGCCUCCCGUGGAUGUGACUUAGGACUUGAGUGCCUGAUCAGGUUGAGAAGAGGCAGAGUUCCUCUUAUUAAUCAUGAACUCAUGAGCUUCCAAUCUUCCUUGCAAGUCAUCCAAACUGAGAGUAGACAAAUCUGUUGACUCUUCAAUAGCAGCUUCAACAUAGUCAAACUUCGGUGUCAGACUCCGAAGAACUUUUUCAACCACCCUUGCAUCUUCUAAAAUCUCCCCAUUUGAUGCCAUUUUAUUAACCACAGAAUUUACUCUGGUAAAAUACUCCCUUAUGCUUUCUGUCUCCUUCAUCUCCAACUUUUCGAACUCCGAUCUUAGAGUUUGAAGACGAACCAUUUUCACCUUCUCUUUGCCUUUGUAGGCUGCAUGAAUGAUGUCCCAGGCUUCCUUGGAGGUCUCAGCUUGAGCAAUUCUUUCAUACACAGACUCUUGAAUUGUCUGGUAAAUAUAGAAAAGCGCCUUGCUAUCCUUCUUUCGAUUCUCCUUCAAAGCAUUCCUCUGUUGUUGUGUUAAUGCACCUUCAUUCUCCGGUUCGACGUAUCCUUCUUCGACAACGUUCCAUAUCUCCAGGGACUUCAACAAUACGUUGACAUUCUUGCUCCAAUAAUCAUACUUCUCACCAUUGAAACGAGGAAUGAGUGAUAGCAUAUUGGAGUUGUUUUCAUUCGCCAUAGGAGCAGCACGAGCCUCUACAGCUCUGACACCAGAAUGUAGAAGGAAGAGAACAGAGCAAGUGUUUUGGAAAUGAGUUCUUAUUGAAUACUUCUACUCUCUCUUAUCUCAAACAGCAAGAUUACAUAGACUUAUAUAGGAACAAGACCUGACUCUAUAACUUCUUAACUUACCAAGACAUUAAACACCCACUUCAUGCUAAUGAAGAUGAAAAGACUCAUAACAGUUGAAACUGAAAAUACUGGAAACUAAAAGAUUAAAAACUGACAGCAGCCUUAUUCUAGGAAAACAAACCAGCAAAUUUGGUUUAAUUAGCCAACAUUCUGCUGGUUUAUUUGUGACUCAACGAAAGUAUGCUCAAGAUCUUCUUCAUAAGUCUGGAAUGGAUGAUUGCACUAUUUUCUCUACUCCUUGUAAGUCUGGCUUGAAGCUUGUCAAAGAUGAGGGCGUUCCUUUACAGACUCAUGAAAUCACUCAGUUUAGGAGUUUGGUUGGAUGUUUACAGUAUUUGACCUUCACAAGGCCUGAUAUUACCUAUGCUAUUAACUCAAUGUGCCAAUUUCUUCACUCUCCAACUCAAAUCCAUCUUUAUGCUGCUCAAAGAGUCUUGAGAUAUGUCAAAGGAACUAUUUCACAAGGGAUUCAUUUCAGAAGAGGUGUUAAUGCUAGUCAGCAUGACUCUUUUCCUUCUUCUCUUAAUCUUUCAGCCUUUUGUGAUGCAGACUGGGCAGGUGAUCCAAAUGAUCGAAAUCCACUACUGGAUUUGUCAUUUUGCUCAAUCAAUCUCCAAAAUCUUGGUGCAGUAAGAAACAAACAGCUGUGUCUAGAUCUUCUACAGAAGCUGAAUACAGAAGCAUGGCUGACACUACUUCUGAAAUCAUGUGGCUUAAACUUCUGCUUAAUGAUCUUCAUGUUUCACUUUCUGAUGUUCCAGUUCUUCACUGUGAGUCUGUGACAACAUCUCUGCCUUGGCUUUAGCCACUAAUCCAGUCUAUCACUCAAAAUUGAAGCAUAUUGAAGUUGAUGUUCAUUUUACUCGCAAUGCAGUCAAAGCGGCUCAAUCAAGUUGCAGUUUGUCACUUCCAGAAAUCAACUUGCAGACCUAUUCACAAAAGGCCUAUGUUCUCCUCAACAUCUUCAUCUCUGCUCCAGCUUGAUGCUUCUUACCAAUCAUCAAUCUGAGGGAGGAUGUUAAGAUAUAAUGGUCUUCAGAUUAUUUAGUCUUAAGCUUGUCUUAGCUGUUGAUUAAUCUUUUUGUUAAGCUCAUAAUGAGCAGCAGAUAAGAGCCACGUGUUGUUCAUGUGUGGUGCUUAUUGAUCCUAUAUAGGCUAUCUGUAACUCUCUUUGUUCAAUUAACCAGGAACCGAGAUAGUUUUCUCUGUAUUUUACUCCCUUCUUCUCUAAGCUAGUAUUAAGGACAAUGGAUACGGAAAAUUGAAUUCAGUUCUUAUUCUGAAGCUAGGAUAUUGAUGCUGUUCGUCUGAUCUUUUUCGCAAAAUCCUCCUCUUUAAUCCAUUAUUAAGAGUGAAUGUCAUUUUCAGACCUUUUCUUUUGUCUAAAUUAGCGAGUCUAAUCUUGGUUUAGGCUAAUGCAUGUUUAAUCCUAUAUUGGCCUUUCAGCUCAGCUCACGUGCUAGUUGUACUGUAGCUCUCAGCUCCUAUAUAUAUAGUUUGCGAUGUAACCCUAGAAGGGUAGAACAGCCAGCCUUUGUAUCUUCUUUUUCAUUCAAUAUAUCAAGUUUUCAUUUUUUUCAAACCUUUCAAUCUAUUUUUCUAUCAUCCAUAUCUGGCCCUCCCACACUACCCUGCAUAGUUAAAUCUCUCUCUCUCUCUCUGUGAUUAAUUUAUGAAAGGAAUAAAUAUGUCUUCACUGUUUAGCUGAGCUAUAUUAGAACUUGAUAAGUGUCUCCAACUGCCAGUCCCAUGUCCAUAUUGCAGGUUUAACGGUUAAUCCUCCAGACGAGAUUCUAUCUUUCAAAAUCUUGAGAUAUGAGCAGCCAGAUCGAAAAUGUGUCAAUUGACUUACGGUUGGUUUCAUUAAGAACCUGAUAACCGAAAGAAAAUCUAAACUUAAGUUGAUUUUUUUAAUAUUUUUAUUCCAUCAAUUUGAUGCUUAAAAUGUCAUCGAUGCUUAACAAAAUCUAAACUUAAUUAGUUGAUUGAUUAUGUUUUCAGAAAUCUAGAUGGGAUCGUUCUAGAUGGAGAAUCUGACAAGGAAAAUGGAGGAGACAGUAGCAGAAGGCCAGCCGUGGAGGACAUCCUUAAAAACCGUGAUAAGGCAAUGAAUAACGAAAAUUCUUCCAUUCACCUCGUGAAAAUUCACCAAGUGACGUGGCACAAGCACAGCCACAUAUUUAAGUGUAGAUUGAAAUUUGACUAACUUCAACUUUCUUCCGGUUAACGUGUGUUUGAACCUAGGAAUUUGUGAGUCGGAGAGGUAGAAAGAAGGGGGUAAAAUCUGCAGCUCCCGGCUCCCUGGGUUAAAAGUCUAUUUCUGUGUCGACGUCGAUGACUUAGUCGAUGGAGGAUGUCGGAGCUGAAAACACCCGCCGACCAGCACACCAUGUAGGCGGCGAUGCUAGCGCGCAGCCCCCGGCGCAUACCCGAAAAGACUCGCUCCGGCGACGAUGGACCCGGCCGCAGAUAUGGUCCGUCCUUGUGGAGGUGUAGGUUUGGGUGACGAACAAAAAAAAAAAUUUGAUUUGGGUGUGAACAGGAAGAACAACACCAGAGUUUGGGGAUAAAGAUUGGGGAUUGUUAAAGAAGCAAAAUCAGAAAAUAAAUUGAGGGUUUUAGGAGGUGAGGUAAAAUCAAUCUAAAUGGACUGGGGAAAGAGACCAGAUGAUGUUCUCAGCCAUAUAGAGUUGGAGGUAGAUUAGAGAAGAUGAUAGAUCUUCACCGUGAGCCAUUCACACACUCUUUUUGGGCAGAUUGGGUCUAGUCUAGAGAUUGGGCCCGAGAAUUCUUUUUGGGCUAGGGUAUUGGUUUUUAUUUAUUUUUUUAUUUUAGUUUUUUUUAUUUUAGACUUUUGGGUGUGUGUAUAUAUAUAUAAUUUAACGAAUUGUUCUGUCACCUAUAAAAAAAACAUCCAACAGUUUUUUUUUCGAUAAAAAAAAUGGAAUGAACUCUGUUUUUACCUUUAGAUUUAGUUGUUAAGGUUUAAAUGUAGUAAUGUACAUCUUAGUGACAUAAAAAUAGAAUUGUAAAUUUUGAAAAAUCAGCCGUUAGAUGUGAUCGGUAGAGUAAAAUACGGCUACGGUAAAAAAAUCACAUAUUUUUGAUAAAUUCUGGGAAACCUUAGAUGUGAUGCGGUCAACCCUAUUUACGUUUUUGUUUCCCUAUGGGAAACCUUAUUAUGGGAAGGUAAACCUCCCUAAAUUUUUAUAUAGGCUACUGCAUCUCAUGUAUGUGAGAGUGUGUGAGCAGAAUAAUCGACCAAAAUAAGUCACAAAAAGGUAGGUAAUAGUGUUUUCGUGUAAUAAGUGACAUUGAUUUAGGGUUGACCGCGUCGAUCAAUGCCCAAACGUUAUCGAAAAUAGGUGAAUUUUGUUUAUUUGACAUGUUUAAGUGUACUGAUUACACCUAACGGUUGAAUUUUCAUUUUGUGAAUUUUAGUCAUUUGAACCACAACAUAUCUAUUAAUGUGGUAUAAUUUGUUUAGUGUGUUAUAUGUAAGUGUACAUCUUUAUGAACUAACUAUAACUAGAAAAUAAGAUUUUAAAAAAUCGACCGUUAGAUGUGAUCAAUAUAGUGAAAUACGGCUACGGUAGAAAAAUCAUAAUUUUUGGAUAAUGUUUGGGUCCCGAUCGACGCGGUCAACACUAAUUACGUUUAUGUGUCCCUAUGGUGAGCCCUAUCUUCGGGAGGUAAUCUUCUCCUAAUUUUUAUAUGGGCUGCUACAUCUCAUCUAUGUGAGAGUAUGUAGGUCGAAUAAUCGACCAAAAUAAGCAACGAAGGGAUAUGUAAGAGCGUUUUCGUGUAAUAAGUGACGUAAGUUUAUAAUUGACCACGUUGAUCGAGACCCAAACCUUAUCGAAAAUAAGUGAAUUUUUUUCUAUAUACAUAUUUUAAGCAUACUUAUCACAUCAAACGGUUGAAUUUUCAUUUUAGGAAUAUUUGUUAUUGGAACCACAAUAUGCCUACUAAUGUGGUAUAACUUGUUUAGUGAGUUAUAUAUAAGUAUAUAUCUUUUGAACCAACUAUAUCUAGCAAAUAAAAUUUUUAAAAAUCGGCCGUUGGAUGUGAUCGGUAUACUGAAACACGGCUAUGGUAGAAAAUUCAUCCGUUUUUGUCAUUGUUUGAUUCUCGAUCUAGUGGAUACUACUUUGGUCAACCUAUUAGUUUAUAAACAUUCUUAAAUUUGACUGAAAAGAUUAAAGCCCAAAAAUGAGCGAAAUUUCAUAAUUUUUUUUCCCAAAGUUGAUGGUAUCAUUCUCAUAUCAUCCAAUGGUUGGAUUAUCCUAAUUCAAACGUGUUAGUGGUGUUCAUCUUAAAAAAAAAUACCAAUUAAGUUGAAAAAGAUAGUAUAAUCAGAAUCUAAUGAAUAGUGAAACGGUGUCAUUUCUUUUUUUAAAAAAAUAAAAAGAAGAAGGAGACGACUUGUAGGGUUUGACUUGAGAAACAACCCACUUGUACGUUUAGGAAAUAUAUUUGGCCGCCUCCCCUCCACAAUUGACCAAGAACAGCACUGCCGCAUGCCCGCAUUCAAUUGAUUUUGUCAACUACUCGGUAUGAGUUUCUUCCUUUCAUUCGAAAUCUAGCUUUCCGUUGUUACAUUGUAUUCUGUAUAACUGAAGUUCUGCAAAAUCUUUUGGUAGUUUAUCUCUUUUGCAGAUCUCCAAAGUCGUUGGUUUCAUGGAUGAUAAUGGCUUGCGGUUUUCAGAAUCUAAUUAUACUGAAAUCAACAAAAAUCCAACUUACCCAUUAGAAUUUCAUGACCAGAUUCCAACUUUCGGGUGAUUCACCAGAUUCCAACUUACCCAAAAUCUCAACGUUUCGUAAAUUGCAUCUACAGAUGAUGAAUUUCCGACGACGCUCGAAAAUCGCCGAACAACAUAAAUUCGAUAUGUUGCCCAAAUUCGAUUGCCCUGAAGGCUCUGCUUUGCCUUUUUUUUUUUUUCGUUUGUUUGGAGGCUUGCUCUGUGUUUGGAGGCUAGUUGGUGUUUGUUUUAAACCGAUACCCUAUUGUAACUCCUUUUUACCAUAACUUGAUCGUUGCCUUUUUUUUUUCCAAGCACAGUCUGUUAGCCACGCGCUGUUAAUACCUCCGUUGGUAAAGCAUCACUAUGUGAGCUGAAGAACCUCCGAAUGAAUAAAUGGAACACGCUCUUCAUCAUUGUCUGUGCAUUUGCGGUCUUCGUUGAUCCUUUGUUCUGUUAUAUCUAUGUCGUUAGCGAGGACGAUAUGUGCCUCUCUUACGACCGGAAGUUGUUCUACACAUAUUUUGGUUUACGAACAGCCUGUGAUGUCUUUUAUGUAAUCGACAUUAUCAUUUUCCUCUGUGGAAUUUGCAAGAAACGUAAAGGUAAAAUAUUUGGUGCAUGCUGGAAGCCAAGCAGUGAGAAAAAAAGGGCACUUACCUUGAAAGAAAUAUUCAGAAAACGGUGCUUGCUUCCGUUAUCCAUUCUACCUCGCAUUUUAGUUUCCCUUCCCAUUCCAGCGGUAAGAGAACCCCUAGCCUUUUCAAUAUACUAAGCAAACUUUACCCAUAAAUGGAUAUGACCUGGGGUUUGCCAAAUAAAUAUGCUUAUUGUUCUCUGUCAUUGGAUUCAAUUGUUACACAAUAAUUAGUUUUAACUUUUGGCUUAACUGAUUGCAGGUGCUCGUGGGCAUGUUCUUUCUUUUUUUUUUAUCAAGUUUCAAAUUUUCAUCGAUCCAUAUUAUGCUACUAUUAUUAUCACCCCUUUUCAAUAUACACUACGGAUCUUUCUCAUCUAUGGAUCUCAAAGGUGACGUCCUAUCAAAAAGAGUACAAGAGGAAGAUGGCUUAAACCUUCAUUGGAUUUUCUUCCCUUCAUCCUUGCCUCUCAAGUAAUAAAUCAAUGGAAUAAGUGUAAAUAAUUAUAUUUUUCAAUGUAUAUAUAGUCUAGCUCAUUACGAAAUCUCCCUACUCUCAUUCUCAAAAAGAAUUUUCUUACUCAACGGACAACUUAAUGAUUUGUCUUUCAGUUAUUUAGAGCCAUGUGGUAUCGUCUUACUGUACAACGACAGAUAGAUUGUUGGAAGCCACACUGUAAAGAAAUUAGAGGUUCAGAGUGUGAUUUACCUAUUGGUGAUUUCAUAUGGUCAAUGCCGAUUGAGGUCAACACCAUGCGUGUGCAAGAACUAUGCCCUACAAAAGUUACAAAUCCAAAAAUCUUCGACUUUGGUAUAUAUUCUUAUGUUGUUCAGUCCAAUGUGACAGGUUCAUCCCAUAUUUUGCGAAAGAUGUCGCUAUCUUUCUGGUGGGCUCUAAGGAAUUUAAGGUUAGUUCAUCUAGAGAUAUAUAAGUCUAUUUUUGAUGGUAUAUAAAUUAUAGAAAAUGUUAUUAUCGAUCACAAUAAUUUUGUAAUGAGCGAUAGAAUCUAAUUAUUAACGAACCGUUUGUUUCUUUUCUUUUCAGUUCUUUUGGUUCAAACCUCAACACGAGCAUGGAUACGCUAGAAAACUUCUUUUCAAUUGUAAUAUCUAUAUGUGGCAUGGCACUUUUUUUAGUAUAUCUCAAUGCAAGAGUGCAGGUUGGUGCUGGAAUCAGACUUCGAUCAUAUGACAUCACAUAAUUAAGGGGAACACAUCAUUUAGAUUUAGUACUUACUGAUCAUCAAACUAACUAGCACCUAUUCUUAAGAAGCAAACUGAUCAUGAGCAUUUUUUACCCAAAAAAAAAAAACUAGACCAGGAGCAUGCAUGCAUAUAUACUUCAACAAGAUAUAUUUCUUCCAAGAAUUAGUAAUAUCCUUUAGAGUAUUAUGAACUCAUCUAUUGUUGUUAUUUGAUAUAUCUGGAAUGAUCAUAUAUGUAGGAGUCACAAUCAAGGUCAAAUCAGCAUAAACUGAAAGAAAAGAAGCAAUUGAUGAAACCGGAUAUAGAUUUGUGGUUAUCUAAAAAUGAUCUCUCCCACGUGACCAAGGACUCUAAGGAUCUGAAGACAACGACGAAGAAAAAGACUAUAAAGACAACGAUGAAGAAAAAGACUUUGAAGACGGUGAUCAUUGAAAACAUAGACAAACUUGAAGAAAACAAACAAAUUGAUUUGCAAAAUAUCAUCAAUGUUCUUCCCAUAAAAUUCAAAAAAAAAACAUCACCCGUCUCCUCUGUUUGGCUUCACUAACAAAGGUGAGUAUAUUUUUUGUUUUCUCUCUCAAGGGAAACUUUGAGAACAUGUAUGUAACUGAUUUUCAUCCUUAGGUGCCAACGCUUGCAAAUUUGAAUGCCAAAAUGUUGAAAAUGAUUUGUGAGCAUCUGAAGCCAGUCAUUUACACCGAAGAUAACUACAUUGUUCAAGAUGGGAAACCACUUGGUAUGAUGUUUUUCAUCACGCAAGGACUCACAUGGAGCUACACAACCGAACACAUCAAUGGUGGAAGAACAAGCUUUGAUUCUUCAAGCAAUGAGUGGUUAAAGAAAGGUGAUUUUUACGGAGAAGUGCUGUUGAAUUGGGCAUUCAAGUCUCCCUCCUUCUCUGCUUUACCAAUCUCCACUAGAACUGUUAUGUCUCAAGAAAAAGUCGAAGCAUUCACUUUAAGGGCUAGCGACUUGAAGAGUAUAGUCUACAAAUUCUGGUGGCAUUUUACCAAAGAGCUCGAGCAAGUGGAGCUAGAACAGUGGGAGAACGCAGCAGCUUCUUCAAUACAAGGAGCUUGGCGCAACCGUUUGGCAAAGGCUAGGCAUUCAAAUUUCUGGGACAAAUUUACCGCCCAUUAUUACUGUAUAUUAUGUAAAUACUCUACUGAAACAAAGAUUUUCAUUUUGUAGUUAUUUUUAUUUUUAGGUGUUACAAGGUUUUUAUUUUAUUUUAUUGAGUUGUUGUAACGUUAUAUCUCAAAAGCACACUCUUUCUUCUCCUCCAUCUUCGUUUUGAUGAGUGAGCUCUCAUGGCGACGAACAGGAGACUUCUCCUCCAUCUUCAUUAGUUCAUCUUUGUUGAACUCCGGCGAACCCCGGUCAGAUAUCUUCAUCUCCCCUUUCCUCUUCAACUUUUCUGAAAAUAAAUCUAAGCCGUAUCAAACCAUGAAUCCAUCCAGUGCGCGCUAAUGAUAUAUCCUCUGAAUUUGGGAACUGUGAUAUGGCUGAAGCUCCGAUUAAUUCGUUAUCCCUUGCACGCCAAAAGUCUGAGGCUUUUGAAGGUCAGACUUAUGUAUCUAAACCCAUACCCUCACUAGUAAACACGGCUCCUCUGGGAUUUAAUCACUUUUCCGAUUUCAGUUUCUGGGCCAUUCAAUAUUAAUUUGUAUUUGAAUUUGAUUUGGGCUAGGAGUAACUAAGAGAAAUUUAACCCACCCACUAAAUUCAGGAUGUAUAUUACUGCCGACGAGAAUCUGAUACCAUAUAGGUUUAAUUUGACAUCUGGGUGGACUGCAUAAUUAUAUCUCAUCUUCUUGUUCAUGAUUUGGUUGAUAAGCAGCAAAAGUAAAAGUGAAUCUAUGUUUCAGAUUACAAAGAAUCUUUAUGAUCAACAUACAGUCAUACACCAUAUGAUUGAUUAUCUGUGCAUAUUGUAGAACCCAUUAUAGAUCUGAUCAAAGCCUCCCAAUUUAUAUUCAUCCAUUUCAUCAUUUUGUAGAUUUGAACAUCUGUACAAAAUAACAUCAAUACAAAUUCAAAUCCGAGCUGCAAACUGGUGGGUGGCGUUGAUCAAUCAAUUUAGCUUUUAGGAAAACUUAUUUGCCAUUGAAGAAGCUAAUUUGAUUAAUUUUAGUUCAUAGAGACGAAAAGAAACUAAUAUGAAACGGAAGAAAAAGACAGGAGAAUAAAGCAGACAAUCAAUUGAAGAAGACGAUGAUCAAGAAGAACCACGGCGCAGCUGCUGUGGUUGUUGGUGGUGAGAGCGGAUUGCUCUGGUACUCCUUCAGAUAAUAGAAAUUAGAAAAGGUGUUUUGGAGAGGAAGAGGCAGGAAGAGGCAAGAAGAGGUGAAGAGAUGGUGUUUCCUCGGUACUCUUUCGUCCUUAAACGGCGUUUUGUCAUUAAUUAACUCAUUUAAUGAGUUUUAGUGGGUUGUUGCUGAGGUGUUAUGUUCCUGACCUUUAGAUAUUGAAUGAAUGGACGUGAUUUGAAGUCAAGGAUAAACAAGUACAAGAGGCAGCCAAGGAGAGGAUCCUUAUCCUAUUUUCAUACGUUUGUAUCCAUGGAGUCAUCUCAGAUAUAGAGAUCCAGUAAUAAGGAUAAUUGCUUGUUUAUACCAUUUUAAUCCUUUUUUUAACAUUUGAGUUGGAUCAGAAGGAUAAUUGCUUGUUUAUACCAUUUUAAUCCUUUUUUUAACAUUUGAGUUGGAUCAGAUGACUAGUUAUUUCAAAUUCAUAUCAAAUAUACGCAUCUACUCAUUGUCUACAGUUUAUAACAUUUGAGUUGGAUCAGAUGACUAGUUAUUUCAAAUUCAUCAAAUAUAUGCAUCUACUCAUUUGAAAUGACUCAUAGUGAGAGGACCUCGGCCCGCUUUUAAAAAAGUGUAUUGUUGAUAUGAAUUUGAAAUAAGAGGAAAAUGCAGCGUCGGUACCCCAAUUUUGAUGGCAUGGUCAAAGUGGUACCUAUACUUUAAAAACUAUCAAUGUGGUACCCAAACCUCUAUUUCGCUACCAAGGAAAGGCUUGAGGCCAAUUUCCGUAACUGUGCCGUUAGUUUGUUGACAUGGCCGACAUAUGGCCCACCAAAAAAAGGUGCAAUGACAAAAAUAACUUUCUAACUCUCACCAAAACCGUUUUCCUUCUAUAAGCUUUAAAUUUGAAUUUUCCUGGGUAUCACAUUGAUCAGUUCAGAAAAGUUUAGGCACUGCUGCUGUGUUUAUCUGCUGACAAGAAAUAUUAUGCAAUAGCUGGAAAUGUAACAUAGAAAUUCAAACAUAGAACUAAAAAGGGCUGUCAAUAUCACUGAAUUAAAACUAACAUCAACAUGAGAAACAUACUAUACAUCAUAAUUCAAGCUUAAUUGGUUUCCAAAAACUCAAAGAACCACAUUGUUUGCAAAAAAUUGAUUCCAAACCAUGAUGAAGUACACAUUAUGUUUCUCUAAUUUAAAAGCCAACACAUUCACUAUGUAGAACCCCUUGCUGUAUGAUUUUGGCUGCUUUGAGUAGGAGGCUGUGUUGAAGCUGAUGCACUACCAUUUCCAGCAGAACUACCCUCCAUUGCCAACUUCUNNNNNNNNNNNNNNNNNNNNAAUCACCAUCAGAUACAUACCUUUGCUAAGAUGUCUAGACUCAACUAUACAAAAGAUUACUCCUAAAAUCACUAAAUAUCCAUAAGUCCACCCAUUCCUUUACCCAUGAUGCAUAGCAUGCUAUAUGCAGACAUGCAUACUAAUAUGAAUCAACACAAAUCUUGUACAUGGAAUCCAAAUAUCAUCAAUGAAAUCAAGACAAACAGUGUUAACUAAAAUGACAUAACAACUAAGCACACAAAAUCAGUAUCCAAUCAUAAAAAGUUCUCCCCAAGAUACCUUUGUCAAUUCUCACAGUAAGUUCCUGACCAAGACAACAAGUACUUUUUAGUAAUGCAACUCAUUAGUUCCAGUACUCUAAAUAUAAAGUAUUUAACUGAUAAAACACCCAAACAAACAUGACAAGUCAGUUGAUCCGAAAACAAGUUUACUGAACACAAAGAACUACUGCAGUUUUCUGACCCAGUCAUCUUCACCACAAAAACUGUACAAAUCCAUAAGGAAUUUGACUUCAUGGCCUUCUAAAGAAAUAAACUAGACAUCUUAGAGAAGCUUUCAGAAUUUGAAUCACCUCAAAAACAAAUUUCUGUAAUUAGAUAUGCAAUUUCAAAGUUCAGUAACAGUUUCAGGUUUUUCUGGAAAUUUUGCUAAAAGUGUCUAAACUUUGUUUUCAAAAACAAAACAGAAGAUCUAUGUGAUACAAAACUUCUAGGAACUGAACAUAAACACUCCAAUGUUUCAAAAAGAAGGAAAAAGAUACAAAACUUGCAACUUACAGACUAACUAAGAUCACCACAAAGAUAGCUAACAAAAUGUAAUAUACAACAGUCUUAACUUCUAUAAUUUCAGCAAAUUUAAAUCUAAAAUCAUGGUUUCUACUUUCAAUAGUAGAAACUAAUAACAUGUAUAAGAACCUCAUAAUCUAAUCAUUACAUAUGUACAAUCUCAUAUCAAAACAACAAAGAUUCAAAAACAAAGAGUACAAUUAAAAACAGAAAUCUGAAAUCACAAAACAACUUCCUAACUUUCUGACCAGUAAACUUUAUGGCUAAAACGACACAGCUUGACUGGGAAUUUACAGUUGGUGUCUUCAUAACAACUGUAAAAGACAACCUAAAGAUCAAUCAGGAACUGGAAUCGCAACAAAAGGAAUUUUUUACAAAUACUUAUGAUUUUCGGAAGUUGUAGACCUGCAUCAGGAAAAUUACUGAUUUUGGCUGAAAUCAGUUUUUGUUUUACAAACUGACUAAGAACCUAACCAAAUAGCUGAAAUUCACAAAAUUGAUCAUCUAUUUCAGCACUACGCGGACAAUUACACAACUCGUAGUUAUCAAAUCAUGUCCAAAUUGAAGCAAACAAAGUUAGGGUAUUGAAAAUUGGUAUUACCUUCAGAUCCGAAAGAAGAUUUGAAGCUAUAUCGAAAUCAUUAUAGAUCAACGCCGCUUUGAAUCGCCCGAAGUUCUGAGUCAGCUAGUUCAGCUUCGCCUCCAUUCUCGUCUAAUUUGCUUCCCUCUCUGGUUUUCCCUUUCGCUUUUCUCACUCUGCAAAUCACUCCUGGGUCUUUCAAUUUGGAGACGAACAAGAGGACAGAGUUUGUGGCCAACUAGAGAGAAGAGAAGAGGAAGAUUGGGGGGUCUCUUUGGGUACGAAUAUCGAGAAGAUGGUGGACUGCGGAAUUUCGAUAGAUCGAUCGAGGUUUAAGUUUGAGAGAGAAUGAAGAAGAUGUAGGUGUUUGGGAUCUAGGUUUUCAAGAGAAAAAGUGAUGAACAUGCAGGUGCGAUUUAGAUUAGGUUUCAGAGAAGAGAAGAGAAAAGGGAGUUUGGGAGGAGAUGGGGGAGGGAAAUCGAGUUUUGACUUGAUUUGGGUGUAGACUGUGUAAAAUGUCGUUUUUGCCCUUUUUUUGGUGGACCCGAUGCUGGCCACGUUAACAAACAGACGGCACCGUGACAAAAAUUGGCCUUAGGCCUUUCCUUGGUAGCAAAAACAAAGUUUAGAUACCACAUUGAUAGUUUUUAAAGUCUGGGUACCACUAUGACCGUGCCACAAAAGUUGGGGUACCGGUGCUGUCAAAACUUCUUGAAAUAAUUGAGUCAUUUCAUAUACCUUCUGUCUUGUAGUUUGCUGUAUUCUGUUUCUUGAGCAAAACUUGCCAUGCUGUUAACCGAAAUCUGCAGAUUUGCCUUGUGCCCUUGUCAAUAGUAAUAUUCUGAAUACAACUGUUCUUCAGGGCUGGUGGUUGGAAAUCGAACUUAAGCCUCAUUGAAAUUGUUAGGCCCCGCUCACCUGCGGCAGAGUAUUUACGGUACAGAAAGGGACAAAUCAACGAUGACCUUCAGAUUUAAAUAAAACUCAUCUGAGGGCUUAAACAAAUUCUAUCCCGAUUCGUGAGUUCAUACUUGAUCAUUCCUUGCUCUCCUUUUAGUCUUCUCUCUCUCCUCGCCGACCACACCAUGAGUCUACGUACGAUCAAAAGCUGAGAGAUAUGACGGCGGUUUAGGUCGAGGAGGAGGAUGGGCAGUUCGUGACGGUGAAUGCGAGGUGACGUCAGAAGAUGCGCGGGCGCCCUGGGCCUCCGAAGCGGCGGCGCUUGGGAUCUCUGUACCGGUUAGAAACCUUGGCAUCAGCAGCUCCAAUGUCUACCUCAUUCUGCCUAACCAACCACCCAGAACCUCUAUCUGCAAUAAAUUCCUAAAAUAAAAAUAAUAAUAAUAAAAUAAAAAUAAUAAAAACCAAACUUUCGAAUCAAACACUCAACACAACACCCACAACCAAAUCGAACCAAUCAACCCUCACUAUCUAUCAAUUCAGCUCAGAAAUCAAGAAUUGAUCCAAUCAAACAGACCCAGGAAAAAAAGCUGAGAUUAAUUAGAUCAAAACAUCAAUACCCAAGAAAGGUAAUCUAUAAGGGAUCCAAAUUUACUUGGAAGGGAGGAGGAGCAACCCAUUUGCGAGAUCAGAGUUUAGAGUUUUCGGGUCAUAAUCGUUCAAAUUGAAGAAACCCCAAAGAAUUUGACUCGUUGCUCUCCGUCAUAGCUAUGGUAGUGGUGGUGUUGCUGUGCACCUUGGCUGGGUUUUUUGACCGGUACGGAGAGAGAGAGAGAGAGAGAGAGAGAGAGAGAGAGAGAGAGAGAGAGNNNNNNNNNNNNNNNNNNNNNNNNNNNNNNNNNNNNNNNNNNNNNNNNNNNNNNNNNNNNNNNGAGAGGACUGAAAGGAGAGUAAGGAUGAUCAUGUGUGAACUCACGAAUUGGGGUAGAAUUUGUUUCGGCUCUCAUAUCAGUUUCAUUUAAAUCUAAAGAUCAUUGUUAAUCUGUUCCUUUCUGUCCUGUAAAUACUCUCCCGCAGGUGAGCGGGCCUGUUAAAUUGUUUAAAGGAAAGAAAAAACAUUUGCAUGAACUAGAAUAUUUUCCAGCUGAAAUGAAAUAUUACAAUUUUGAUAAACCUCAUGGUAAUAUAUUCAGAACAAGAUAAAUAGUAUAAUGCCAAUGACAUUGUUAAAGCUACAACCAGAUCCAUGAAUUAUUACAGAAAAGAAUACCACUAGUAGCUCACAAAGACACAGUUCAAAUUCACAGGAUCACAAUGUUGUCACAUAAUAUAUCCUAUCCUAAUCUUUGACACUAAUCUACCGAUCCUAGAAACCUAGACCAUAGCAGUAGGGCUGGUCUUCACUCAAUCGGUUGGAGAUACACCUGGUGAGCAACAUUGAUCAUUAUUUCAAGUUUUCAACUACUAUAAAGCAAGGUGGUUUGGUGUCAAAGGCUUCACCAAGUUUAGUUUACCUGUUAUACACUGGCACAUAUGGUGCAAGAAAUUAACUAUAACAUUCUAUAGCACAAA